UACGUAGGGUGCAAGCGUUGUCCGGAAUUAUUGGGCGUAAAGGGCUCGUAGGCGGUCAGUCGCGUCUGCUGUGAAAACUCGGGGCUUAACCCCGGGCCUGCAGUGGGUACGGGCUGACUAGAGUGCGGUAGGGGAGACUGGAAUUCCUGGUGUAGCGGUGAAAUGCGCAGAUAUCAGGAGGAACACCGAUGGCGAAGGCAGGUCUCUGGGCAUUAACUGACGCUGAGGAGCGAAAGCAUGGGGAGCGAACAGG
rnacentral:rRNA from 1 species